rnacentral:rRNA from 1 species
UACGUAGGGGGCGAGCGUUGUCCGGAUUUAUUGGGCGUAAAGAGCUCGUAGGCGGUUUGGUAAGUCGGGUGUGAAAUCUCCACGCUCAACGUGGAGGGGCCACUCGAUACUGCCAUGACUCGAGUCCGGUAGAGGAGUGUGGAAUUCCCGGUGUAGCGGUGAAAUGCGUAGAUAUCUGGAGGAACACCGGUGGCGAAGGCGGCAUCCUGGACCGAGAUUGACGCUGAGGCGCGAAAGCCAGGGGAGCAAACGGG